UUGCUCUGUAACCUUCGGGGGCUGUACAGGCUUAGUGAUGGCAAUCUGGGACGGUAGAAAGGGACCCGCUGCGUUGACGUGGCGCCCUGCUUGGCUGUGUGUCGGUGUCUUCCCGGGCCUCUGCAGAGAGGUUCUCCAGGUGCGCCGUUGAAGUAGAGGAAAUGGGUCCAGACCGGAAACGGGGCAGCCCGCCUCGCGCACGUCCGUCGUUGUAGGAACACGCCGCAGAGCAUGUCGACCCUCGAGCCCCCCAGA
rnacentral:SRP_RNA from 1 species